UAACGCGUGGGAAUCUGCCCUGGAGUGGGGGAUAACCGAGGGAAACCUCGGCUAAUACCGCAUACGGCCUGAGGGCGAAAGAUUUAUCGCUCUAGGAGGGGCCCGCGUCGGAUUAGCUUGUUGGCGGGGUAACGGCCCACCAAGGCUAUGAUCCGUAGAGGGUCUGAGAGGAUGAUCAGCCACACUGGGACUGAGACACGGCCCAGACUCCUACGGGAGGCAGCAGUGGGGAUUAUUGGACAAUGGGCGCAAGCCUGAUCCAGCAAUGCCGCUUUUGGGAUGAAGGCCUUAGGGUUGU
rnacentral:rRNA from 1 species